GACGAACGCUGGCGGCGUGCUUAACACAUGCAAGUCGAACGGAAAGGCCCCUUUGGGGGUACUCGAGUGGCGAACGGGUGAGUAACACGUGAGUAACCUGCCCUUGACUUCGGGAUAACUUCAGGAAACUGGGGCUAAUACCGGAUAGGAAUCCUUGCUGCAUGGUGGGGGUUGGAAAGCUUCGGCGGUUUUGGAUGGACUCGCGGCUUAUCAGCUUGUUGGUGGGGUAGUGGCUUACCAAGGCUUUGACGGGUAGCCGGCCUGAGAGGGCGACCGGCCACCAUGGGACUUGGAUACGGCCCAGACUCCUACGGGGGGCAGCAGGGGGGAAUAUUGCACCAUGGGCGGAAGCCUGAUGCAGCAACGCCGCGUGCGGGAUGACGGCCUUCGGGUUGGAAACCGCUUUCAGCAGGGGAGAAGCUUGUGGUGACGGUACCUGCAGAAGAAGCACCGGCUAACUACGUG
rnacentral:rRNA from 1 species